GAUGAAGAACGUAGCGAAAUGCGAUACGUAAUGUGAAUUGCAGAAUUCAGUGAAUCAUCGAGUCUUUGAACGCACAUUGCGCCCCCUGGUAUUCCGGGGGGCAUGCCUGUCCGAGCGUCAUUGCUGCCCUCAAGCACGGCUUGUGUGUUGGGCCUCCGUCCUCCUCCCGGGGGACGGGCCCGAAAGGCAGCGGCGGCACCGCGUCCGGUCCUCGAGCGUAUGGGGCUUCGUCACCCGCUCUUGUAGGCCCGGUCGGCGCUUGCCGACACAUCAAUCUUUUUUCCAGGUUGACCUCGGAUCAGGUAGGGAUACCCGCUGAACUUAAGCAUAUCAAUAAGCGAGGA
rnacentral:misc_RNA from 1 species